rnacentral:tRNA from 2 species
GGUUCAUUAGCUCAGUGGUUAGAGCGUUCGCCUGUUAAGCGAGGGGUCACCGGUUCAAAUCCGGUAUGGACCG